rnacentral:rRNA from 1 species
UACGGGGGGAGCAAGCGUUGUUCGGAUUUACUGGGCGUAAAGGGCGCGUAGGCGGCCACCGCAAGUCAAUUGUGAAAUCUCCGGGCUUAACUCGGAAAGGUCAACUGAUACUGUGCGACUAGAGUGCGGAAGGGGCAACUGGAAUUCUUGGUGUAGCGGUGAAAUGCGUAGAUAUCAAGAGGAACACCUGCGGCGAAGGCGGGUUGCUGGGCCGACACUGACGCUGAGGCGCGAAAGCCAGGGGAGCGAACGGG